rnacentral:rRNA from 1 species
GGGUUGUGAGGUUAAGCGACUAAGCGUACACGGUGGAUGCCCUGGCAGUCAGAGGCGAUGAAGGACGUGCUAAUCUGCGAUAAGCGUCGGUAAGGUGAUAUGAACCGUUAUAACCGGCGAUUUCCGAAUGGGGAAACCCAGUGUGAUUCGUCACACUAUCAUUAACUGAAUCCAUAGGUUAAUGAGGCGAACCGGGGGAACUGAAACAUCUAAGUACCCCGAGGAAAAGAAAUCAACCGAGAUUCCCCCAGUAGCGGCGAGCGAACGGGGAGCAGCCCAGAGCCUGAAUCAGUGUGUGUGUUAGUGGAAGCGUCUGGAAAGGCGCGCGAUACAGGGUGACAGCCCCGUACACAAAAAUGCACAUGCUGUGAGCUCGAUGAGUAGGGCGGGACACGUGGUAUCCUGUCUGAAUAUGGGGGGACCAUCCUCCAAGGCUAAAUACUCCUGACUGACCGAUAGUGAACCAGUACCGUGAGGGAAAGGCGAAAAGAACCCCGGCGAGGGGAGUGAAAAAGAACCUGAAACCGUGUACGUACAAGCAGUGGGAGCACGCUUAGGCGUGUGACUGCGUACCUUUUGUAUAAUGGGUCAGCGACUUAUAUUCUGUAGCAAGGUUAACCGAAUAGGGGAGCCGAAGGGAAACCGAGUCUUAACUGGGCGUUAAGUUGCAGGGUAUAGACCCGAAACCCGGUGAUCUAGCCAUGGGCAGGUUGAAGGUUGGGUAACACUAACUGGAGGACCGAACCGACUAAUGUUGAAAAAUUAGCGGAUGACUUGUGGCUGGGGGUGAAAGGCCAAUCAAACCGGGAGAUAGCUGGUUCUCCCCGAAAGCUAUUUAGGUAGCGCCUCGUGAAUUCAUCUCCGGGGGUAGAGCACUGUUUCGGCAAGGGGGUCAUCCCGACUUACCAACCCGAUGCAAACUGCGAAUACCGGAGAAUGUUAUCACGGGAGACACACGGCGGGUGCUAACGUCCGUCGUGAAGAGGGAAACAACCCAGACCGCCAGCUAAGGUCCCAAAGUCAUGGUUAAGUGGGAAACGAUGUGGGAAGGCCCAGACAGCCAGGAUGUUGGCUUAGAAGCAGCCAUCAUUUAAAGAAAGCGUAAUAGCUCACUGGUCGAGUCGGCCUGCGCGGAAGAUGUAACGGGGCUAAACCAUGCACCGAAGCUGCGGCAGCGACACUAUGUGUUGUUGGGUAGGGGAGCGUUCUGUAAGCCUGUGAAGGUGUGCUGUGAGGCAUGCUGGAGGUAUCAGAAGUGCGAAUGCUGACAUAAGUAACGAUAAAGCGGGUGAAAAGCCCGCUCGCCGGAAGACCAAGGGUUCCUGUCCAACGUUAAUCGGGGCAGGGUGAGUCGACCCCUAAGGCGAGGCCGAAAGGCGUAGUCGAUGGGAAACAGGUUAAUAUUCCUGUACUUGGUGUUACUGCGAAGGGGGGACGGAGAAGGCUAUGUUGGCCGGGCGACGGUUGUCCCGGUUUAAGCGUGUAGGCUGGUUUUCCAGGCAAAUCCGGAAAAUCAAGGCUGAGGCGUGAUGACGAGGCACUACGGUGCUGAAGCAACAAAUGCCCUGCUUCCAGGAAAAGCCUCUAAGCAUCAGGUAACAUCAAAUCGUACCCCAAACCGACACAGGUGGUCAGGUAGAGAAUACCAAGGCGCUUGAGAGAACUCGGGUGAAGGAACUAGGCAAAAUGGUGCCGUAACUUCGGGAGAAGGCACGCUGAUAUGUAGGUGAAGUCCCUCGCGGAUGGAGCUGAAAUCAGUCGAAGAUACCAGCUGGCUGCAACUGUUUAUUAAAAACACAGCACUGUGCAAACACGAAAGUGGACGUAUACGGUGUGACGCCUGCCCGGUGCCGGAAGGUUAAUUGAUGGGGUCAGCGCAAGCGAAGCUCUUGAUCGAAGCCCCGGUAAACGGCGGCCGUAACUAUAACGGUCCUAAGGUAGCGAAAUUCCUUGUCGGGUAAGUUCCGACCUGCACGAAUGGCGUAAUGAUGGCCAGGCUGUCUCCACCCGAGACUCAGUGAAAUUGAACUCGCUGUGAAGAUGCAGUGUACCCGCGGCAAGACGGAAAGACCCCGUGAACCUUUACUAUAGCUUGACACUGAACAUUGAGCCUUGAUGUGUAGGAUAGGUGGGAGGCUUUGAAGUGUGGACGCCAGUCUGCAUGGAGCCGACCUUGAAAUACCACCCUUUAAUGUUUGAUGUUCUAACGUUGACCCGUGAUCCGGGUUGCGGACAGUGUCUGGUGGGUAGUUUGACUGGGGCGGUCUCCUCCUAAAGAGUAACGGAGGAGCACGAAGGUUGGCUAAUCCUGGUCGGACAUCAGGAGGUUAGUGCAAUGGCAUAAGCCAGCUUGACUGCGAGCGUGACGGCGCGAGCAGGUGCGAAAGCAGGUCAUAGUGAUCCGGUGGUUCUGAAUGGAAGGGCCAUCGCUCAACGGAUAAAAGGUACUCCGGGGAUAACAGGCUGAUACCGCCCAAGAGUUCAUAUCGACGGCGGUGUUUGGCACCUCGAUGUCGGCUCAUCACAUCCUGGGGCUGAAGUAGGUCCCAAGGGUAUGGCUGUUCGCCAUUUAAAGUGGUACGCGAGCUGGGUUUAGAACGUCGUGAGACAGUUCGGUCCCUAUCUGCCGUGGGCGCUGGAGAACUGAGGGGGGCUGCUCCUAGUACGAGAGGACCGGAGUGGACGCAUCACUGGUGUUCGGGUUGUCAUGCCAAUGGCACUGCCCGGUAGCUAAAUGCGGAAGAGAUAAGUGCUGAAAGCAUCUAAGCACGAAACUUGCCCCGAGAUGAGUUCUCCCUGACUCCUUGAGAGUCCUGAAGGAACGUUGAAGACGACGACGUUGAUAGGCCGGGUGUGUAAGCGCAGCGAUGCGUUGAGCUAACCGGUACUAAUGAACCGUGAGGCUUAA